GACGUAGGGCGCGAGCGUUGUCCGGAUUUAUUGGGCGUAAAGAGCUCGUAGGCGGCUCGUUGCGUCGGCUGUGAAAACCCGCAGCUCAACUGUGGGCUUGCAGCUGAUACGGGCGGGCUUGGAUUCGGUAGGGGAGACUGGAAUUCCUGGUGUAGCGGUGAAAUGCGCAGAUAUCAGGAGGAACACCGGUGGCGAAGGCGGUUCUCUGGGCAUGUCCUGACGCUGAGGAGCGAAAGUGUGGGGAGCGAACAGG
rnacentral:rRNA from 1 species